rnacentral:lncRNA from 1 species
AGAAUUUAACUACUCAUAAUUAAACCUAAAUCAAUCAAACAAAUUGAAGAUGAACAUUAAACAAGAAAAUAAAUUGCAAUUAAAUAAAAUAACCACGGUUAAAAACCAAGUAAAAGAAAUCGUCUGUGAGUCGUCUUGAUUCCAGCCGCCAAUGUUUACUGAUCGAAAGUAAUAUCAAUUCCACAACUAAUCUCCUAUCUCCCAUCUCCAAAAGCUCCAGUCGCCAAAGUCUCGUCCCCCCUUUAAAUAAAACUACUCCAUCAUCCUUAUACCUAGCCUAGUCGUCAUUUUUAGUUUAUGGGCCAAGAAAAUAAAAUAAUAUUAUAACUCUUAGCCCACAAACUAAUGACAUUCAUGGCUAAUUAAAUUAAAGAAGUAAUUCUAUCAAUUUAGAAUAAUGACUAUCUUUCUUGCCUAAAUAAAUUCCUCAUCGGCAUGCAUCUUCUGAAAUCUUUCAAAUAAUUCUAUUAAAAUUGCCUUUUUCGACUUGCUUCUAUUCGACUCCAUCAACAUUAUUCCUGCACCAAAAAUCACCUCAAUGUGUAUAUUAAAUUCAAUUAAAGCAUAAAUAAUCCAAGAAUAUGAACAAUUAAAAUACACACAUCAAACAUCAUCACACUUGAAUCAUGUUUGCCUUCAAGUAUGAAGUGAAGACUAAACUCAAUUCUCAAUCAUUAUUAUUCAUACAUCUUAAUUCCCUCAAGACACGACACAAAAGACUCAACUAAAAGAAGAAAAAUAAAAGAAGACGUACACGACAAACACGACACACAAAACAACCAAGUAAAACCAAAUAAUAUUUGUUCACAAACUUCCCCUGCCAAAGUAAAAUCAUGCAACUCACGAGGUAAUUCUCAACUAUCAAAUAGCAAUUUGAAAUCAUCAAAAAUGGAUCAUUAUCAUCAACUUGAUCAAAAUCGGGCAAAAAUCAAAUAUAUAUCACGGUUUUCGCUCAUUCACUCCCUACACUAAUUUCGGACAGCCACACAUAGACAUGAUUCACGCGAUCACGAUAUAUAGUGGUCACUUUGUAACUCAAGAAGGUUUUUUUAUCAUUUGGCGUAAUGGGGCUAGGGACCAUUCAUAAAUUUGGAAGGAUCUAAAUGGGGUACCUAGGCUUCAGAAAAUAAGAACAAAAUAUCAUGCAUGUUCAAACCGAAUCAUCAUCCAUAUACAAUAAGCAUCUGAGGAAAUCACUGACUCAUCCUUGGAUGAACAAAAAAAUAUCAUGUAUCAGACUGUAUGUAUGCUCAACUCAACUUAGAUGCAUUUUUUUUCCUUGCUCUUUUUUUUU